GAUGAACGCUGGCGGCGUGCCUAAUACAUGCAAGUCGAGCGAACGGACGAGAAGCUUGCUUCUCUGAUGUUAGCGGCGGACGGGUGAGUAACACGUGGAUAACCUACCUAUAAGACUGGGAUAACUUCGGGAAACCGGAGCUAAUACCGGAUAAUAUUUUGAACCGCAUGGUUCAAAAGUGAAAGACGGUCUUGCUGUCACUUAUAGAUGGAUCCGCGCUGCACUAGCUAGUUGGUAAGGUAACGGCUUACCAAGGCAACGAUGCAUAGCCGACCUGAGAGGGGGAUCGGCCACACGGGAACUGAGACACGGUCCAGACUCCUACGGGAGGCAGCAGUAGGAAUCUUCCGCAAUGGGCGAAAGCCUGACGGAGCAACGCCGCGUGAGUGAUGAAGGUCUUCGGAUCGUAAAACUCUGUUAUUAGGGAAGAACAUAUGUGUAAGUAACUGUGCACAUCUUGACGGUACCUAAUCAGAAAGCCACGGCUAACUACGUG
rnacentral:rRNA from 1 species